UGUAUAAGUUAUAAAGUCUAGCCUGCCCACUGAUUGAUUUAAAGGGCCGCGGUAAUUUGACCGUGCGAAGGUAGCAUAGUCAGUAGUCUUUUAAUUGAAGGCUUGAAUGAAAGGUUGGACGAGGGAUGAGCUGUCUCCUUUAUGUAAUUUGAAUUUAACUUUUGAGUGAAAAGGCUCAAAUUAUUUAGUGGGACGAUAAGACCCUAUAAAACUUUAUAUAAGUUUAAUUUGGCUUACAAUUUGAGUGAAAAGUAGCUUUAUUAGGCUUAUAUUUCGUUGGGGAGAUGUAGAUAUAGUGUGUAACUGUCUAUUUAAUUUAAUAAUUAUAAUUAGUGUGUGAUCCUUCUUUGUGGAUUAAAAGUAUAAGUUACUUUAGGGAUAACAGCGUGAUUUUCUUUGAGAGUUCUUAUCGACAAGAGUA
rnacentral:rRNA from 1 species